rnacentral:lncRNA from 1 species
AGGAUAACGGAUUCUUGAAGAGGGAAUUGAAGAACGAGGGAGAGCAAUGAGGGCCGGUGCAGAGAUUUGCGACAUCACUCGUUAUCAUCCAGUGCAUUUUGACCUCAACCGGAACCAACGAUCUACCAGGACACAAAAUGACAACAGUGACAACAUUCAGAGCUCAGGCACUCAGUGAGGACCCGAGCUUCUCCAGGCAAAACAACCAAAAGGAAAUGUGUGAGGAGAAGAGAUCAAAUGAACUAUAAGAGGAAGAACAGCAGACACUGAGGAACACAAGGAAACAGAAAGCAUCAGCAGUAAUUAGAAAAAGGAACUUUUAUUUGCUUAGUUCUUAAUUACAUUGUUAUUUGUUUAUUUAAAAAUAUGUAACUGUUUCUGUGCUAAACUAUCUUAAAUCAUAACUCUUUUUAGUAAUUAAUACGUUGAUUAUUUGUAUGAAAACAAAGUAAGCAUUAAGCCUUAUCAGAGAGUUUGCGAUUCCAAACAGAAAAUGAAAAGGAGGUUCUAUCUGAACAAGCUCAUUUAAAAAUGUUGUUGGAGUGAUUACAUGUUUGCCUUUAGGGUGCCUGUUAUUAAAAGAGGGAUUGUUUGAAUACCCUUUCCACUAUCAAAUAUGUAAAAACUGAAAUUUGAAUUUGAAUCCAUCUCCAAAGCAAGACACAAGAUAGAUAGAGACGAUAUUUUAG